CCUACGGGAGGCAGCAGUGAGGAAUAUUGGUCAAUGGGCGCGAGCCUGAACCAGCCAAGUAGCGUGAAGGAUGACUGCCCUACGGGUUGUAAACUUCUUUUAUAAAGGAAUAAAGUGAGGCACGUGUGCCUUUUUGUAUGUACUUUAUGAAUAAGGAUCGGCUAACUCCGUGCCAGCACCCGAGGUAAUACGGGGGAUCCGAGCGUUAUCCGGAUUUAUUGGGUUUAAAGGGAGCGGAGAUGGGGUUUUAAGUAAGUUGUGAAAGUUUGCGGCUCAACCGGAAAAUUGGAAUUGAUACUGGCAGUCUUGAGGACAGGUGAGGUAGGCGGAAUUGGUGGUGUAGCGGUGAAAUGCUUAGAUAUCACGAAGAACUCCGAUUGCGAAGGCAGCCUGCUAAACUGCCACUGACAAUGAUGCUCGAAAGUGUGGGUAUCAAACAGGAUUAGAUACCCCAGUAGUC
rnacentral:rRNA from 1 species